rnacentral:rRNA from 1 species
UGCUUGUCUCAAAGAUUAAGCCAUGCAUGUCUAUGCACAAGCCGAAUACGGUGAAGCCGCGAAUGGCUCAUUACAACAGCCACUGUUUACUUGAUUCUGAUUAUCCCACUUGGAUAACUGUGGUAAUUCUAGAGCUAAUACAUGCAACCAAGCUCCGACCGUAAGGGACGAGCGCAUUUAUUAGAACAAAACCAAUCGGGCUUCGGCCUGAGGUUUGGUGAAUCUGAAUAACUGAGCUGAUCGCAUGGUCUUUGUACCGGCGACGCAUCUGUCAAGUGUCUGCCUUAUCAACUUUCGAUGGUAGUUUAUGUGCCUACCAGGUUGUAACGGGUAACGGAGAAUAAGGGUUCGACUCCGGAGAGGGAGCCUGAGAAACGGCUACCACAUCCRAGGAAGGCAGCAGGCA